CAAGUCGAACGCGAAAGUCCCGCAAGGGAUUAGUAGAGUGGCAAACGGGUGAGUAACACGUGGGUGACCUGCCUUCGAGUGGGGGAUAACGUCCCGAAAGGGACGCUAAUACCGCAUGACAUCCUGCCUUUGAAGAGGUGGAGCUUAAAGCCGGGGAUCGCAAGACCUGGCGCUUGAAGAGGGGCCCGCGCCUGAUUAGCUAGUUGGUGAGGUAACGGCUCACCAAGGCAUCGAUCAGUAUCCGGCCUGAGAGGGCGGACGGACACACUGGGACUGAGACACGGCCCAGACUCCUACGGGAGGCAGCAGUGGGGAAUUGUUCGCAAUGGGCGCAAGCCUGACGACGCAACGCCGCGUGGAGGAUGAAGAUCUUCGGGUCGUAAACUCCUUUCGAUCGAGACGAACGGCUUCCGGGUGAACAAUCCGGGAGAGUGACGGUACCGAGAGAAGAAGCCCCGGCUAACUCCGUGCCAGCAGCCGCGGUAAUACGGGGGGGGCAAGCGUUGUUCGGAAUUACUGGGCGUAAAGGGCUCGUAGGCGGCCAACUAAGUCAGACGUGAAAUCCCUCGGCUUAACCGGGGAACUGCGUCUGAUACUGGAUGGCUUGAGAUUGGGAGAGGGAUGCGGAAUUCCAGGUGUAGCGGUGAAAUGCGUANAUAUCUGGAGGAACACCGGUGGCGAAGGCGGCAUCCUGGACCAACACUGACGCUGAGGAGCGAAAGCCAGGGGAGCAAACGGGAUUAGAUACCCCGGUAGUCCUGGCCCUAAACGAUGAAUGCUUGGUGUGGCGGGUAUCGAUCCCUGCCGUGCCGAAGCUAACGCAUUAA
rnacentral:rRNA from 1 species